GAAGAGGUCACACCCGUUCCCAUACCGAACACGGAAGUUAAGCUCUUUAGCGCCAAUGGUAGUUGGGACUUUGUCCCUGUGAGAGUAGGACGUUGCCAGGC
rnacentral:rRNA from 1 species